rnacentral:misc_RNA from 1 species
GCCACCUGCUGGUUAUAAGCCUUUACCAAAGGAGGCAAAAAUUCCAGUACCUAUCAAAGAACAUCCGGGGUACAAUUUCAUUGGUUUGAUUUUUGGUCCUGCUCAUAAGCAACUGGAAAAGGAAACUGGAGCUCAAGUGAAGGUUUAUGGUAUUAAAGCAGAUACUGGAGAGAAGGUAGAAGUUACCUCUGGUGAAAAUGACUCUAGUGCUUUUGAGGAAAUGCAUGUCCAAG